UAGUUUACUAAUAUAUCCUUAUCUUUUUUUCUUUCUAUUUUGCUAAACAGAGGAAUUGAGAAGUAUUUGACGCUAGAAAAUUAAAGGCGCCAUUGCCUCCACCUUACAAAUCUUCGUAACCAGCUGCUCAUAGUGAUGAUGAAAUACAAUUAGAUAAUGUAUUUAACAAACACUUGUCUAAAAUUCAUUAAUGGUUGUUGUAAAUAACUUAUCUUGUGAUUGUUCUGUUCUAAAUCUCAAAUCUCAUGAUAUGAAAGAGGUUGAUUGUGUUUCUGUGGAUUCAGAUAAUGAAUUCUAAAUCUCAAAUCUCAUGAUAUGGAAGAGGUUGAUUGAGUUUGUAUAGAUUCGGAUAAUGAAUUUUGGCUCAUAAAAUAGGGAAGAAAUAGAGUCUGUUUUCAUUAAUCAACGUCGCCUAACUGAAAUUCAUGUGGCUAGUGGCUAUGAUAACUGGGUUGUGUGCAUUUCGGAUAUAUGGUCCAAGUUGUGAGAUGUAGCUUACAGUUUUUUGGUUAAAUAGGCUGUAGAUUUGAAUUCCUGGGUCAAUAAGAGAAACAAAAUAUGGGUAUUGUUCUACUAUCCAAAAACCUUAAAAAUACUGUUUAAAUAGCCUCAAAUGGAUAUAUCACCCAAUUAUUACAACUUUUCUUUAGGACGGAUGACUAAAAAAUCCUUUCUUCUUUUUUUAUAUCAAUAUCCUCGAACCUCCAUUGAUACAGUUGAGUUUUCUCCUCCACCACCUCCGGGUAAACAGAAAUUGAUCGAGAUCGUGUCUUAACAUGAUUUCGAUAAUAUUUUUUAUCCACAGAGGUUUUGUUUUCUAGGUCUCUCUCCCAAUCUAGAAUUGAAUCUUCAAUCAACAGAUUUCAGGUAUCGAAUCAUUAGAUCAAAAAAGGUGUAACCUUUUUAAUUUUUGGAUUUUGUUUGCGAAAUGUUGAUGGAGAUUCAACAAAUUGGACCAGCCGAGCAACUCACUUUGGAUUCAACAUUGAGUCUGCUGUUAGUGGAGAUACGGAUUUAGUGGAGUUACCGAUUUUUUAAAGCUUCACAUGUUCACAUGCUUCAGUCAUGAGAUGGCUUCAGUGGUUUGUUCAUAAGCAUACUUCACACAUUUAUUUUGUUUGAGACAAUAAAUUAGUGAUUUUAGUGGUGUAUAAUGUUUUGGUCAGUAAUGGUGAUGAAUCCGAUCAAUAGGAGCUUAGUUUGGAGUUAAACAUCACCAAUUUUUAAUGGAAGAAGUUAUGCAGGAACGUGUAUGUAAUGGCCGUGAAUAAAAAAUAGUAUAAGAUGUAUCCGAGUGCAUGAUGUAUAUUCUGGUAAAAAAAAUAAGUUUUAAUCUGGAUGAGCGCAUAAUGUAUAUUUUUUGAUAUUUUUUUGUUUUUCUUAUUUUUCUUAUUUAAUACUUGUAUUUGGUUGCUGUUUCGAUGGUGGAUGUGAUGGUAAUGGUGGUAAUGAUUUUGGUUGUGUAUAUUAUGUUGUUGGUGAUUGCUAGGAUAAACCUAGAUUUUUCCGCGAAGUACACAAAAUGCACCUGAGUGCAUAAUGUAUAAUUCUAACAGGAAAUAGGUUUUGGUUGAUUGCACCCGAGUGCAUAAUGUAUA